AUAUGGGACAUUCACCUCCCACUUAAGAUUAGGAUCUUUCUGUGGCAGUGGAUCCGCGGCCGCCUCCCGACCGGCGUGGAGGUCCUCAAGCGCCAUGGUCCUGGUGAUGGAAUGUGCCCCUUGUGUGCCACGGUUGAGGAUGCUAAUCACAUCUUCUUCUCGUGCUGCACGGCACAGUUCCUUUGGUCUUGUUUCCGCGAAACGGUUGGCGGACAGUGGUGCAAUACCAACUUCCCUGACUUGCUUGCCGAAAUUCAGGCCUCCCCCCCUCGCUACAGACAUAUUAGAUGGCUGUGCGUCGGGGUGCUGGCCUGGACCUUGUGGACGGUUCGCAAUAGGCUUGUCAUUCAGAAGGUGCCCCUUCGACGUGCGACUGACUCCAUCUUUAAAAUGUGUGGUUACUUGCAGCUCUGGCGGCCGCUUAGCCGCCCCCCGGACCGGGACGCCAUCGACAGACUCCUCACCGACCUCCGUUCGUUGGCCUUCCGCCUGGCACCUCCGCUCCCGCCGCCACCCCCGGAGCCCGACUAG
rnacentral:rRNA from 1 species